GAUUCCCUUAUUAGUGUCGAGCGAAGUGUGUAGAGCAUGGUAUGAUUUAGCUGUAAUUAUAGUAGAACAAGUUUGGAAGCUUGACGAUAGAUGGUGAUAGUCCCGUAUACGAAAUAAUAACAGUGGAACUAAGCAUACGAACAAGUAGGACGGGGCACGUGGAACCUUGUCUGCAUAUGGGGGGUCCAUCCUCCAAGGCUAAAUACUCCUGAAUGACCGAUAGUGAACU
rnacentral:rRNA from 1 species